AACGCACAUUGCGCCCAUCAGUAUUCUGGUGGGCAUGCCUGUUCGAGCGUCAUUUCAACCCUUAAGCCUAGCUUAGUGUUGGGAAUCUACUGUAUUGUAGUUCCUUAAAGACAGUGGCGGAGCGAUAGUUGUCCUCUGAGCGUAGUAAAUUUAUUUCUCGCUUCUGUAAGGCUCUAUUCUCCCGCCAUAAAACCCCCAAUUUUUUAGUGGUUGACCUCGGAUCAGGUAGGAAUACCCGCUGAACUUAA
rnacentral:misc_RNA from 1 species